AGCGAACGCUGGCGGCAGGCCUAACACAUGCAAGUCGAACGAACCUUUCGGGGUUAGUGGCGGACGGGUGAGUAACACGUGGGAACGUGCCUUUAGGUUCGGAAUAACUCAGGGAAACGGGUGCUAAUACCGAAUGGGCCCUUCGGGGGAAAGAUUAAUCGCCUUUAGAGCGGCCCGCGUCUGAUUAGCUAGUUGGUUGAGGUAAUGGCUCACCAAGGCGACGAUCAGUAGCUGGUCUGAGAGGAUGAUCAGCCACAUCGGGGCUGGGACACGGCCCAAACUCCUACGGGAUGCAGCAGUGGGGAAUCUUGCGCAAUGGGCGAAAGCCUGACGCAGCCAUGCCGCGUGAAUGAUGAAGGUCUUAGGAUUGUAAAAUUCUUUCACCGGUGACGAUAAUGACGGUACCCGGAGAAGAAGCCCCGGCUAACUUCGUG
rnacentral:rRNA from 1 species